rnacentral:rRNA from 1 species
AUGGCGGAUUAGCUAGUUGGUGAGGUAAAGGCUUACCAAGGCGACGAKCCGUAGCUGGUCUGAGAGGACGACCAGCCACACYGGGMCUGAGACACGGCCNAGACUCCUACGGGAGGCAGCAGUGGGGAAUCUUGGACAAUGGGGGCAACCCUGAUCCAGCUAUGCCGCGUGUGGGAUGAAGGCUUCGGGUUGUAAACCNCNUUUGGCGGGGGCGAAAUCAUCGAGUGAUAAUACCAUUCGGUGACUGACGGUACCCGCAGAAUAAGCACCGGCUAACUACG